AUUGAACGCUAGCGGGAUGCCUUACACAUGCAAGUCGAACGGAGUGGCUAACGGGUGAGUAAUGUAUCGGAACGUGCCCAGUAGCGGGGGAUAACUACGCGAAAGCGUAGCUAAUACCGCAUACCAUUGGAGCGGCCGAUAUCGGAUUAGCCAGUUGGUGGGGUAACGGCUCACCAAGGCGACGAUCCGUAGCUGGUUUGAGAGGACGACCAGCCAACCUGGGACGAAGAAACGGCCCAGACUCCUCCGGGGGGCAGGAGUGGGGAAUUUUGGACAAUGGGGGAACCCCUACUCCAGCAAUCCCGGGUGUGCGAUGAAGGCCUUCGGGUUGUAAAGCUCUUUUGGCAGGAAAGCGGUACCUGCAGAAUAAGCACCGGCUAACUACGUGCCAGCAGCCGCGGUAAUAC
rnacentral:rRNA from 1 species